GAAUAUCCCUGCGAACUGAAAUAUAUCAGAAAUGCUCUCCCAUAAGAGCUCAUUCUGACACCCUCAAAUUGCAGGAGGUGAGAGUGGAAGACUUCUCUUGCAGGUAUGGACUGCUGGCAUCAGGAUGGUGAGGAAGACCUUUUGUGUGCCCAGAGGAUUUGUCUCUCUGGGUUUGGGGAAGCUAAAAUGAACCAGGGACCUAGAAUGUUGGUGACAGCAGUCUCCCUCGGUGAGCCUCAAGCAGCUCAGAUAUGAUUUUCCCUGAUACUUUCCAAUCAAAACACUCCUUCCUGGAACCACUCUCCCAUAUCUGUAUGAAGCAGGUCUUGCUGUUGAGAGCUGCUCAAGACUGACAUAAUACAAAACACCCAAAAUGAACCAAAGGAAAAGAAGAUCAAAAAAGAAGUGGAACAAAAAGGAAGAUGGAACUGAAAAGGUGGUGAAAAAGCCUGGAAAGCAUUGGAAUCAGAACCCAGCCCUGGCCUGAGGAUUGAUAAAUAGUCCAGGUCUGCAAUGUAUUACCAGGUCAGGCAAGCAUGGAAAUAUGCUGCACUGAAAACUUGGAUUGAAAGGAAAAAGAGAGAGAAGGUACUUGCUACUAUCUCUCUUUUUAAAAUUAAACCUUUUUAUUUUCAAAACAUAUGCAUGGGUAAUUUUUCAACACUGACCCUUACAAAACCCUGUAUUCCAAAUUUUCCCCUCCUUCCCCCAUCCUCUCCCCUAGAUGGCAAGUAAUCUAAUAUGUUAAAUAUAUUAAAGUAUGUCAAAUCCAAUAUAUGUAUGCACAUUUAUACAAUAAUCUUGCUGUAUAAGAAAAAUCAGAUCAAAAGGGGGAAACAUGAGGAAGAAAACAAAAUGCUAUAUUGUGAUCCACACUCAGUUCCCACAGUCCUCUCUCUGGAUGUAGAUGUCUGUCUUCACCACAAGAUCAUUGGAACUGGCCCCAAUCAUUUCAUUGUUGGAAAGAGUCAAGUCCAUCAGAAUUGAUCAUCAUAUAUUCUCGUUGUUGUCAUGUGUAAUGAUCUCCUAGUUCUGCUCAUUUCAUUUAACAUUAGUUCAUGUAGGUCUUUCCGGGGCCCUCUAAAAUCAUCCUGUUGAUAAUUUCUUAUAGAACAAUAAUAUUCCCUAACAUUCAUAUACCAUAACUUAUUCAGCCAUUCUCCAAAUGAUGAGCAUCCACUCAAUUUCCAGUUUCUUGCCAUUACAAAAAAGGGCUGCCACAAAUAUUUUUGCCUGCUCAUGUGUUUAACAUUCCCCCAAAUACCUAGGUAUUAUCCUACUGAGGAUGUGCCUAGAAAGCUGCUAAGUCAGGGCCAAAAGACCUCCACCAACACCUGAGGAGACUUCGAACUAACAUCAUCCUGGGCAUGGUACUAAUCAUGCUUACUGCUGCCACAGGAAUAAUCGAGUGAUUUUCUUGAUGUAUCUGGCUAGUGGCUUGGUGACUGGACCUCUGAAUGAUGUUCCUCUGCAAAGGACCCAUGAAAAAUUUGUCAUUAUUACCUCUUCCAGGAUUACUCUUUCAGGUGUAAAAAUUCCUUGUCAAUCGCCAUAUUGAUGCUAAUUUCAGGAAGAAGAAGAUCUGCAAACCUAGACAUCAAGAAGGAGAGAUUUUUGACACAGAAAAAGAGAAAUACGAGAUUACAAAGUGCAAGGCUUAUCAGAAAACAGUGGACUCUCAUAUCAAGAAAAUUCUUCAGCUCUGUGGCUAUCGCCUUCUGUAUUCUUUCUCCAAUGGAAUUUAUCCUCACAAACUAGUGUGUUAAAUGACUUGCAGAGAACUCUUAUUAAAAUAUUUGGAAUAAACAAAAACAAACAAAAAUAAAAACCCAGUUAUUUCUACAACACCUACUAGAUUCAAAGCACUAAACUAGGUCUUUCAGGGGAUAUUUUUUGAAAAGAAUGACACAGUAGAGAACAAAAGAAAACUUAAAAGAAAGCACAGAAAAGAUGG
ensembl:lncRNA